AGAAUCAACGCUGGCGGCGUGCCUAACACAUGCAAGUCGAACGAGAAAGUGGAGCAAUCCAUGAGUAAAGUGGCGCACGGGUGAGUAACACGUGACUAACCUACCCUUGAGUGGGGGAUAACCUAGGGAAACCUGGGCUAAUACCGCAUAAUACCUUCGGGUCAAAGGAGCAAUUCGCUUAAGGAGGGGGUCGCGGCCGAUUAGUUAGUUGGCGGGGUAAUGGCCCACCAAGACCGUGAUCGGUAU
rnacentral:rRNA from 1 species